rnacentral:pre_miRNA from 1 species
UCUUAUUGAUGAGCAAAGAAAGUGGUUUAUUGAAAUGGAAUCUACUUCUGGUGAAGAUGCUGUGAA